CCAGUCCCCCCGCAUCCACUCGCCUAAUCCCGAUCGGAGCGGAGGGGAACGAGACUUCCGGUCGAUCCAUCUGCCCGCCCAGUCCCGAUCGAGGCUUAGGGAAACGAGAUUGCCGGUCGAUCCCAGCGACCGGAGGAGAGGAGCAGCCGGUGCGGCUGGUUCCAUCAACUGAAGACGGGUUGAGGGAUGGGAUCGAAUUCCAUUCGGUCGAUUCCUGUGACCGGAGGAGCAGGAUCCGGGUCGAGGCAAUCCAACCCAGCGCGUGAAAAAAGGUGGGGGCGAGGGAGAUAAUGGCAGACUCCUCGCCUGCUUGACACUGCUCCGCCCUCCUUCAAGCUUGCAAUCAUGGCCCUCCUGAGGAGAAAGGUUGAGAGCUUUAAUGGCAGUUGAUGUGCACCACUCGCCCGGGGCUGAUUAUUGCAAGCUGCCCUCAACCGUAGGAUUUGAGAUUGGUUGUCAAUUUCUCAUGGGUUGAUUUCAUCUAAGUUGCCGCUUUUCCUUACUACAGAUUAUUUGCUGCCUUCUACAUCCGCUCUCCCACCGAAUUACUAAUGGUGUUAGACAUUUUUCUUACUGCUAUUUUUUUGUGCUACCAAAUUGAUGCAGGUGCCAUGAAAAAGGAUUGUCGCUGAUGUUAGUGGUAGGUUGUGUUGGGGAAUUCCUAAUUCCUAGCUUAUCAUUUGCAAUGGCUAUCAGCCAUAUUGUACGUGAAUUCUCGUAUGUCAUCUUAUUAUCUUAAUAUCCAUGUAUAUGUGCCUAUGUUGUAAAUUUCAUGUCCAUCCAUUUUAGCGA